rnacentral:rRNA from 1 species
GACGGGCGGUGUGUGCAAGGGGCAGGGACGUAUUCACCGGGGGAAUGGUGACCCCCGAUUACUAGGGAUUCCACCGUCGUGAGGGCGAGUUGCAGCCCUCAGUCUGGACUGAGAGCGGGUUUCGGGGAUUUCCUUCCCCUUUCGGGGUCGGAUCCCGCUGUCCCGCCCAUUGUUGCACACACCGCCCGUC